AGUCAAGAGUCUUUGACGUCGUUGCGGCGAGCAUUUUUCUAUUGCCUUUCGAAAGGUAGGGAAAUG
rfam:Rhizobium sp. RT36D genome assembly, contig: Ga0136764_124